GCCUGGGUGGCUCAGCGGUUGAGCGUCUGCCUUUGGCUCAGGUCAUGAUCCCAGGGUCCUGGGAUCGAGUCCCACGUCAGGCU
rnacentral:tRNA from 1 species